AGAGCUCCAACAAUAGCAGCCCAGAGACUGAAACGCAACUAUCUUCUGCUUUAAAAAGACCCGGUGCCUUACGUCUGUGGUCCCUUCCAAUAUUGCUGAAUGGCACUACGUGAUCUGAGGCCUUCAGAUGACUCCUUGCAAAGGUGGCUAUUAUCACGGACAAGUAAUUUUUCCCAGAGAAUUUCCUUUUAAACUUCGUAGUAUUUGUACGGUAACUCCCUGUGGAAGGUUUCAGUGCUGUACGAGGCUGCGUCUUCCCGUCAUGGAUCUCCAUCCAGACCACCUGGCCUCGUCCGUCUCCACCCUGCAGACCAGGAUCCUUAGCUUCCGGAUGGAGAAGGGCCCCACUCUGGGCAUUUAGAGACGCCUGACUUCAUGAAAAGAUAACUGGCAGCACAUAGUUUAGCGUUUAACUCAAAAGACAAAGUCUUUUGUGGAUAAUUUCCUUAAGUCGUGGAGGAAAUGAAACAAAAACAGAAAGCACGAGACAACGCAGUAGCAGAUCCCAGACCCUCCCCUUAUCAGACGGGGCUCCGGACGGGGAGAUGCUCCACGGCCAGGACCAGCUUCAGCUCCUCAACCUCUCUGGCUUCAGCAGGCCCACUGGUCCCAUGGCCUCCUGGGCUGGCCCUGACCUACUUGUCUGUCAUGGUUGGGUGUGCAGCCUUCGCCUACACAGUCAGGUACGUGCAGAGAAACAGAGGCAGUUGA